AUUCAGUGUGAGAAGAAGGCCAUGCAACAAGAGAGGCAGAAUCAGAGAGAGAAGAUGCCAUGCUGAUGGCUUCGAAAAUGAAAAAAGGGUCCUGAGUCAAAGAAUACAAGUGGAUUCUAGGAGCUAGGAAAGUCAGGAAACAGGCUGUGCUCUGGAGCCUCCAUAAAAAACCAGUCAUGUGAACACCUUCAUGUUAGCCCAUAAGCCUCACGUCAAACUUCUGGCUUCUAGAACUGCAGGAAAAGCAAUUUGUGUUGAUUUAGCCGUUCGCCAACCCAUCACCACUUCUGUCUCCUCAACAUCAAUUCCAUCCUCUUCUCUCCAUCUCCACCUCCAUUGCCACCUACAGCAUACUGUCUCUCCAGGACAACUACACCUGCUUCCUAAUAGGCCUCUCUGCUCCCGCUUCCCUUCUGCUUCCAAUCUAUUCUCAACACAGCAACAGCAGUGACCUGGGUGUUCUUUUAAAACACGAAUGCGAUGAUGGGAUCAUGCCCCUCCAAUGCUUAAAACCUCCAGUGACUCCUCAGUGCUCUCAGGAUGAAAUCUAAAUUCCCAAAUGUGCAUGAACAGUGUUCUCGACCUGGUCUUUGCCUUUCCAGCCUCCUGCCUUGACACAGUCUCUCUCUGUCUCAGUCUCUGUCUUUCUCUCGUCCUCUCUCCCCAGCCUGUCACCAUGCAGAUUCUUUUGCCUAAUCCACUCUACCCCCCUUCUGUCUUCCUCUGUCUCCCUCCUACUCAUCCUUGCAGCCGCAGCCGAGAUGUUGCCAGCUCAGGGGGAGUCAGAUUCUAGGCCAGAUCCCUGGCUCUGUGCCCCACAGCCCACCCUUUGCAUCCCCCGCUCCGGCACCUGUCAUGCACACACCACGUUAUGGUGAUCUCUGGUCCAGUCUGCAAAUAUGUUGUUGCCUGGCACAAAGUAAACAGUCGAUGGAUGCUGCUGUGCUCGUCAUCGUCAAGUCGUCACUAUCAUCAUUUGCUCUGGCCAACUCCUGGUGUUUGCUGUCCUCUUAGAAGCUGUGGUAUGAAUUGCAUGGAUUGCAUUCAUGCAUCACCCUUCCCUGUGUCUACAUCCCAUGCCUGUCACUUUGCAGUUCUCCUCUCUAAAGAGACCCACUCUGUUUCCCACCCCUUAAGUCUGGGCUGGCUUUCACCCAUAGAAUGCGACGGAAGUAACAGAGGCCAGUCCUGAGUCUAGGCCUCAAGGGGCCUCACGCCUUUCUGCUCUGUCUUUGGCUUCCUGGUCUCCACCAUGAGAAUGUGCCUGGGCUGGCCAGCAGGAGAAUGAGAUGUGUGGAGCAGAGCUGAGCUGCUGAGACCAUCCGAGAGAGUAGCCGGCAGCCAGCCAGCCCCCAACCUGUGAUCAGCAGAGCCACUCGGCUGACCUGCAGAUGAGAACAGACACACGAGCAGGCCAGUUGAGCUGAACCUCAUAGGCUCACAAGCUGAAUAAAUGCUUAUUGUUGCGCGCUGCUGAGGUUUUGUGGAUAUCUGUUAGGCAGCCUUAUAGUAGCAAUUGAUAACUGAUACAGAAGCCACCGAAAGGAGCAAGCUAAGUCCUAGGGAAAAAUGUUGCCAGGCGUUCGGUCUUCUCAGAGUGAUAGCUGCUCAUUAGAAAGAAACCAACUUUGACUGUCACCUUCUCUGCCACUUGCAGUCUGUUAAACCCAGAGACUGGCGGAUGCCUUUCAGCACAGCCGCACUCUGCCUCCCCUCCCUUCCUCCCAGACUCCUGUCUGAGACAGAACAGUAUCUUUGAGAACCCGAGGGCAAAAUCCUCUGCAGGAGUAGGAGGCGGCUCUUAAACAGCCCCAGGCGAUGUGGAAGGUGGGCGGAGGCUGAGCUAUUGCACUGCUCCCCAAAUCCCAGUGCCUGGCCGCACCCCCAACACCUGAAGCCUGCCUACCCUGGUUUAAGGCUCCCCCAGCCUUCCUGGUGAAGACCCCUCAUGGAUUCUUGUUACUCUCAGGAUUGUACAAUAAACCCUUCUUCACGCAGAGUAGACGUGACGGGAAAGUCUAUUUCUGGCCUGACUGUAUUGCAUCUUGUUUGACACCUCCGCUCAGCUGGCAUUCAGGUGGGCACUACCUGCUCAUGGAAAGUCCAGGAGAAAAUGGAAGAGAAGAUUUUUUAGAAAUCAACACACAAUUCAACGUCUUUCUUUCUUUCCUUCUUUGAGAGAGAGAGAGAGAGAGAGAGAGAGAGAGAGAGAGCAGUAGACAAGUCAAUUUCACAGGGGCUGAGUAUUUACACCAGUCUGAACCUGGGCUGGAAAACUGUUCACCCCAAGCACCAUGGCGAGUGGGGAAGGAGGAGGCAGCUGCCGCCUUGAAAUCACCAACACAGCUUUGUUUCAUUGGCCCUGAGUCAGCCAAAACAUUAGACGUUCCAAAUAUUAGACAACCUUCCAGGCCAAUGUUAGCCCCAAAGCACAACCAAAAACCAAACAGAAGUGUCUCAAAUGUUCCUGAAUGUUUUUACAUUUCUUGGACAACUAUUCUGCUCUGAGGGAAUGUGAGAAGAGCUGUCUGCUCCAUGGAGGCCCCAGAGAAAAUCAUUUCCCAUGCCAAGGCUGGAGCUGGUGGCUGUUUCCCUCUGGGGAACGGGGUGGGCUCCAUCACCCUCAGACAAGCUAUAAAGCAGGCUUUCAAAUAGCAUAUACUCUGUGGGAGCAAUUCUACUUCUGGAGAUAGAUUUUUAAAAAAUCAAAAGCAAGAUCUUGAAGAGAUGUGUACAUACUCAUGUUCGUAGCAGCAUCAUACACAAUAGCCCAGAGGUAGAAGCAACCCAGGCGUUCAUUGACGGAUGCAUGGAUGAACAAAAUGUGGGACAUCCAUACAAUGGAACAUUCAGCCUUCAAGAGGAAAGGGAUUCUGUCAAGGAUGCUGCAGCGUGGAUAAGGCUUGAGGACAGUAUGCCAAGUAAAAUAAACCAGUCUCCAAAAAGACAAACAUCACAUGAUUCCACUUAUGUGAGGUACCUAGAGGAGUCAGAUCCACAGAGACAGAAAGUAUAAAGGUGGUUACCAGGGACUGGGGGGAGGAGGGAAUGUGGAGUUGUUUAUUGGGUACAGAGUUUGAGUUUUGCAAGAUGAAAAAGUUCUGGAGAUUGUACAACUAUGCGAAUAUACUUAACACUACUGAAAUAUACACUCAGAAAUGGUUAAGAUGCUAUAUUUUAUGUAAUAUACUUUGUACCACAAUUUAAAAUAAUUUUAAGGUCAGGCGUGGUGGCUCAUGCCUGUAAUCCCGGCACUUU
rnacentral:lncRNA from 1 species